rnacentral:rRNA from 1 species
UUGCGGUUAAAAAGCUCGUAGUUGGAUUUCUGCCGAGGAUGACCGGUCCGCCCUCUGGGUGAGUAUCUGGCUCAGCCUGGGCAUCUUCUUGGAGAACGUAGCUGCACUUGACUGUGUGGUGCGGUAUCCAAGACUUUUACUUUGAGGAAAUUAGAGUGUUUCAAGCAGGCAUACGCCUUGAAUACAUUAGCAUGGAAUAAUAAGAUAGGACCUCGGUUCUAUUUUGUUGGUUUCUAGAGCUGAGGUAAUGAUUAAUAGGGAUAGUUGGGGGCAUUCGUAUUUAACUGUCAGAGGUGUAAUUCUUGGAUUUGUUAAAGACGGACCACUGCGAAAGCAUUUGCCAAGGAUGUUUUCAUUGAUCAAGAACGAAAGUUAGGGGAUCGAAGACGAUCAGAUACCGUCCUAGUCUUAACCAUAAACCAUGCCGACUAGAGAUUGGAGGUCGUUAUCUAUACGACUCCUUCAGCACCUUAUGAGAAAUCAAAGUCUUUGGGU